rnacentral:lncRNA from 1 species
GCAUAGUUUGCUAAAGGUAAACCAGCAAAAACCUUACACAGAAGACACGAAAAGCCAGCGACAAAACUACGAACCACAGAAGUGACCGAAGGAAGAGCAAGACCUUUAAGACGAAGCCUCCAAGGAGGUGAACAACGACAGAAGCCGCUGCCGAUGCCCACCCAAAGAAUUGGCCUAGGUUUUCACCCGAAAGGGGAGAGAGUCUACAAGGCAACCACCUCCAAGGAGGAAACGGCGCUCGCAGGCGUCGAUAUCUCGGCACUACGACAGGUUCACACAGACACAGGACACAUGAAGCACCCGGUGAGACCCAAGAGCCCUGACAACAGAUUGACUGGACCACAAACACGGACGAACACUAAAAGGCUCCACAGCCGGCUCAAGAGACGACCAAAAGAAGGGAGGAGCCCCAAGGAGAGGCGUGGCCGGCAUGAGGAGGAACUGAGAGCUGAAGUCAAGGGCAACAAGGACCACAUUGUCUUCCAUGAUUCCAGCGAGGAACUCCGGUCAUCGCGGGACAUUCCAUAUGACUGCAGUAACCACCACCAACUUUACCACCAGCACAAAGAGGGGCACACUGGGAAGAGCAACUAG